AGUAAAUUUAUUAUCAAAGUACAUAUCCAUCACCAUAUACAUUCCUGAAGUUUGCUUUCUUGUGAGCAGUUACAGUAAAGAGAAAGAAACACAACAGGACAAAUUUAAAACCACACUUAAGACGGACAAACAGUGCAAAAGAUAACAAACCGUAGAAAUGCAAAAAGAAAAGAAUGUAAUAAUAAUUAUUAUAAAAUAAGCAAUAAAUAUCUAGAACACAUCAUAGAGUCCUUAAAAGCGAGUCUGUAGGCUGUGGAAUCAGUUCAUUGGCAGGAGAGGGAAGUUACUCACUCUGGCUCAAGGGCCUGAUGCAACUAAACUUGCAGUGGUGUAGGGGGUUGCACAAAGUUGCAACGGCUCAGGACAUCGAGUUCGGUGAGCAGUCUGUGUACUGAGGGUUUCCUCCCACAGUCCAGUCGGAAGGUUAAUGGGUCAUUGUAAAUUGUUCAGCCAUUCGGCUGGGGUUAAACUGGGGGAUUGCAGGAGGGGUGGCACAAAUGUCUGGAAGGGUCUGUUCUGUAUCUCUAAAUAAAUACAAAUGCAGCGCAGAGCGACACUAGGUGCCCUGUAUCACCAAACAUGGACAAAGUGCAGGGUCAAUGAGCUGAUAGGAAGAUUCUUCAAUAUUUCAGGGGAUUGUAGGGAUUUACGACCCGUCAUAACACCUUCACAUAAAAGCAUAAAGAACGUCGUUCACUUUGCACUGAUUCUCAGUAGAAUGAAUCACUGAAUUAUCAAAGCCAGAAUCAGCAUCGUGUUUAAUAUCACCACACACGAUAACAUCACUAACACGUUAACUUAGCAGCGGCAGUAUAAUACAAUACUAUCAAUGAAUCACUGAAUUAACAGAAUCAGUUUUAAUAUCGCUAGCACAUGUUGUUUUGUCCCAGCAGUACAGGGCAAUACACAAUAAUAAAUAAAUUAUAGUUUACAAAAAGAAAUGUGCAGUUUAUGUAAAAUAAAUUAAGUAGUGCAAAAAGAGAGCAAAAUAAAAGCUGAGGAAGUGUUCAUGGGGUCAACGUGUCACAACCAUGGACUUCAGGCCUUGCACAAGCAGGCUGCACAAUCGGUUUGGCAAGUGUGCCGGGAAGGAUGCAUGUUCUGGCUAAUUACUAUUUCAUUAUGGUGGUAUUUAACUUCCCUUUUCCGUUCCAGUCUUGUCGAACUUGGCGAAAAGCACAGCAACGUUUAGCCUCCCUGCUUACCUUUGUACUUGUCUGGGUAAAAGGGCUACCGUUUUGACUGACGCUGUGAAGGAGCAGUAUUCAUUAGCAUUUCGUUAUGGCUUCCAGCUGCCACAUUGGUACUUUUAGUUUUAGAGUUUUAGUUAACGUCUCUGAUGGUCUAGCGGUUAUUCUUUUCUCUUGUCCUUUAAAUUCUGCAACAGUCUUGUUAAAGUUAAAGUGAGCUGACGCUGGCUUCAGAGUCUCUCUCUCUCUCUCUCUGCACUUGGGCCAUAUCAGACAGUAACUCUCAACCACGAAAAUAGAUAAAGCAGACAGCAACGCUCACAGAAUGCUUAAGGAACUCAGCAGACCAGGCAGCAUCUGCGAAAAUAAAAAAAAACAGUUGAUGAUUCAGGCUGAAACCCUUCAUCGGGACUGAUGAGAAGUCAGAAUAUGAAGGUGGGCCUCCAUUCAGCCUGUUUAAUGCUCAGUUGGAGCAAGGAUCCCCUACAGCCCAGUCGAUUUGGCAUCUUGUUGCCAAGUUAAGGUGAGUGUUUAACCUUCCAGUACGGCACCAGGAGGCUGCCAACUGACUCCUUGACCUGCGGCAUGGUAGAGGGACAGUGAGGAACUAUGCAGUUAAAUUGCGCAUGCAUGUGGAGGAGAAGGGAUGGAACGAGAGAUCCCUCAAGACUGCCUUCCAGCGCAGACUGAAUGAACGCAGGGGUCCAUCAUGAGAUUGUUAUCCGUGACAAGCAGAACAGUCUGGAUUAAUCUGGCUAUUCGAGCUGACGACCGGCUGACUGAGAGACACAGGGAAAGAGUGACUCAAGCUCUCUGCUCUUUGGAUCACCAUCUGGUUUCACCCUCUUCCUCAUCACCCAGCACUCAGCCAGUGGAGGAGCCUCUGCAAGUGGGAUGCAUGAGGAAUGAGAUCAGUGCAGGGGAACAGGUCCCUGCAUGCAUUGUGGCGAUCCAGAACACUUCCAGGCGUCCGGUGAAUGAGGAUACCCGUCAGCAGCAAGCCAAGUCCUGACAGCCUGACUCCAGCCGAGAGUAACUACGAUGUCCGCAACGUGAACCUCUUGCUCUCAAGGAGGCCCUGAAAGAACAGCGACAGACUGGAGGGGGCAGAGCGUUCCCACAAGAACCUCUGCUACAUUCGUGACACUCAGAGACUCAAUUCCCAUUAAGCCUGUUGGGCUCUCUUCUGCACUCGAUUUAAUUUCAUCCUCACUUAUCAUACUGGCAGCAAAAACUGCAAGGCCGGCGCUCUUUCCCGGCAGUUCGACAGACCUGAGGACAAUGCCGAUCCAGAGUCCCCCUUCUUCCUUGCUCGUGCAUUGUUGCUCCAAUAAUUUGGGGAGCAGGGGUGAAGGUGAGGGCCACUCAACAGUCGGACUCAAGCCCUACCAGGUGUGGGGCAAGGUCCAGUACCUUGUGGAUUGGGAGGGGUAUGGUCCUGAGGAACAUUUGGAGUGAUGGCCGAUGACAUCCCAGCAAAAUUUCUCAUCUGGGACUUCUGUGCACAGGUCUGUGGUUCCUCAGGAGCUGCACCAAAGGAGGGGGGCCCAGUCACAACUGGGGACUCUAUAUGCCCCCAUGGGUGGGAUCGGUACCAGAUUCGACAGUUGUGUUCAUGAGCAUGCACAUUCCAGCUAAUCACUACUUUAUUGUGCUGGCCUGUCUUUUCCUUCCAGUCUUGUCGAACUUGACCAAAAGCUCAGCAACAUUUAACCUCCCUGCUUACCUUCGUACUUGUCUGGGUAAUAAAAGGGUUAACGCUUUGACCGACGCUGUAAAGGAGUGGUAUUCAUUUAGUAUUUCGUUAUUGCUUCCGGUGUUGGUGCUUAAGUUUCAGUCUGAGAGUUUUAGAUAACGGCCCUGUUGGCUGAGCGUUUACUGUUUUUCUAACCCUUUAAAUUCCAAAACAGGUCUCAUUAAAGUCUCUGAGAUGUU